CGCGCAUCACGCUCAUCAUGCGUAUGCGGAAAUUAUGUCAAAUUCAAAACAGUAAGCGGUAAGAGAGAGAGAAAAUCGAGUGAGACAUAAAUCGAGUGAAACAUGAAGCGAUCGUACGAAAGCGGGUCACAUAAAAAGAAAGACCAAAGGCAGGACUUUCUUUCAAAGCUGCCAAAGCUAUCCAGCUGUUUUACAGCCACCGCAGUGGCAGCGGGACCGUCGGCGGAUCAAGAGCAGCCGUCAACGUCGUUUGCUGUCACGUUACUGCUCCUUUCAUUCCAAGUGUCUCUGGCUCAGCCAGCAGCGAUGCUAAUGACGUGUGUCAACAAACUGACGGAGAUGAUGCACAACUGGAACAACCCGAGUUGCCCCAAGAGGACUUGGCAGCAAAUGAAGAUGGAAGUACAAAAAUAUAGUUCAAACAGGAAGAUGAGAAACAUUGUCUGCGGCAUUCGAAAAGGGAAGAGGAAAGGCCUAUUGAGGAUGAAAUCGAAUCCAAUGAGAGGCCAUCCACUUCCAAAUCACAGCUUACCUCUGCAAGAUUCUCCCUGGAAUUAUAAUGAAACGCUCUACUUGGCAGUGUGAAAUCCAAUGUCAUUUUUUGCAUUCCUAUAGCUUCCAGUCAAAGAACUAUAUAAAAUCUAUCUCCAAAAGCAAAUGCACAAAGCAGACUUUGUAAUGGACCACCUUAGGCAAAAGAUGCAAAAAGAUGCUUUGGAGAUCCAAAUUUUGGAAAAUAAGUUAAAGGUGGGUGAGGUGCAAUCUGGGAUACUGUUCCCUGCUCUAAAAACAUACCCAAUAUGAAUGACUUUUUUUUUGUGCUUUCAGGAAAUAAAGAAAUCCUCAUAAAAGUAGAUUGUCUUUAUUAGAACACGGGCUGUGGUGGGACAAGUUAACUUGUUGAACAGUUUACUCAAAGGGUUUUAC
ensembl:lncRNA